UGGGGAAUAUUGCACAAUGGGCGCAAGCCUGAUGCAGCCAUGCCGCGUGUGUGAAGAAGGCCUUCGGGUUGUAAAGCACUUUCAGCGAGGAGGAAGGGUAGUGUGUUAAUAGCACAUUGCAUUGACGUUACUCGCAGAAGAAGCACCGGCUAACUCCGUGCCAGCAGACGCGGUAAUACGGAGGGUGCAAGCGUUAAUCGGAAUUACUGGGCGUAAAGCGCACGCAGGCGGUUUGUUAAGUCAGAUGUGAAAUCCCCGCGCUUAACGUGGGAACUGCAUUUGAAACUGGCAAGCUAGAGUCUUGUAGAGGGGGGUAGAAUUCCAGGUGUAGCGGUGAAAUGCGUAGAGAUCUGGAGGAAUACCGGUGGCGAAGGCGGCCCCCUGGACAAAGACUGACGCUCAGGUGCGAAAGCGUGGGGAGCAAACA
rnacentral:rRNA from 1 species